rnacentral:lncRNA from 1 species
CACGAAGAUACAAGCCAAGGUACUUGCGUUAGGCUUGCGUUAGACUUGCGUUAGGAGGGACGGGUCCCGUCUCGGAUUAGGGUGGUAAAGAGUCAGCUAAACAGAUAUGCCGCUACGCCUUGCAGCACAGUCGACCUAAUUUGGAAGUGCGCAAUAGAGCACAAUGAAAACGGUGACAAAAGCGCCCGCCUCGGUGAGUACGUCAGGCGCGGCUGCACUGGACCCCCAAACCGGCUUGCGGAACCCACCCUUUUUGUACCUUGCAGGAUACAUGACUUCCAUGCAACUAGAUAUUGGCUGCACAACGAAUCCUGUAUCUGGCGCGACAUGAGAAACUCAAGUUGAUACUUCUAGCUUACAGCGCCCUCCCUUAAUGCGGUAGGGAGCCUCUAAAUGUCCCGAUGAUGCUGGAAUCCAUAACCUUCAGCGUUGUCAGGAUCACAGACCCCCCCCCCUAUAGCGACGAAGCCCCAAGGCCCAAGUGCGACUCACGCAGCCAGUAGCGGCAAUGUACAUAGAGCCUUCUGGAUAAGAGAACUUUUCAUGCCAACAAUCAAUCCCAAGAAACCCCAUCCGUUGCUCAAGAAACUUC